UACGUAGGGUGCGAGCGUUGUCCGGAAUUAUUGGGCGUAAAGAGCUCGUAGGCGGCUUGUCGCGUCGGAUGUGAAAGCCCGGGGCUUAACUCCGGGUCUGCAUUCGAUACGGGCAGGCUAGAGUUCGGUAGGGGAGAUCGGAAUUCCUGGUGUAGCGGUGGAAUGCGCAGAUAUCAGGAGGAACACCGAUGGCGGAGGCAGAUCUCUGGGCCGUAACUGACGCUGAGGAGCGAAAGCAUGGGGAGCGAACAGG
rnacentral:rRNA from 1 species